CCAAAAUUGAUCUCUGUCGUUUUAGACACACAGAGUCCAGGUGCACUCAGGGGCACGCGGAGAAGUGGAAUUGCUCGCUGUGCGUCCAGUCCCCCAGCGCGAAAGAUCGGAACCCUACAGUUCAGGACGCUCCAAGGCUCCAGCGCUCCUUGAGCGCGCGCCUUCCAACGGUCAUCAAGAAACCCCAACGUCUUCUAGCAAAACAAGAGUUAUGCCAAGUUUCCUUGAUGUCAGGGUCCCAGUUUCGUGUCACUCAUCCAACUGUUAUGGCCUUAGAUGAUUGUAAAUCUCACUACAGUACACUUCCCACCCCCAAGGAGAAAAGUACCUCAAACGAAUCAGGAGAGGAAAGUGGGAAAGAGGAGGUAGGCAUGAUCUUCUAUCAAUCCAUCUGCAAUCAUCUUCCCUUACUGCCUACCUGUUAUAUGCCAUGCGCUGUGCCCUGCUUGGAGGUUCAACAAAAUCAACCUGUACUUAUCUCCCACACCACCUCUCAUUGUACUUCCUUUUUGCAUUUGUCUAAGGCCAACGGUGCUCUUUUGACGAGUUGUUUGUACUGAGAUAGUGAGAAAGGCCUAGGUGAGUUAUGGAGUAACAGGAAGCCACCUUAGUUCCAUCCAAAGAGCCCAUGGUAGGAGACAACCAGCUCCAGAAGGUUUUCCUUUGAUCUCCACAUGGGUGCUCUGGCACUUGCAUGCACACACAAUAAUAAAAACGUGAAAUAGA